GACGAACCGUGCGAACGUUAUUCGGAAUCACUGGGCUUAAAGCGCGUGUAGGCGGCCCGGCACGUCAGCCGCUGAAAUCCCCCGGCUCAACCGGGGAAGUGGCGUUGAUACGACCGGGCUGGAGGGGGGUAGGGGGGACGGGAACUCACGGUGGAGCGGUGAAAUGCGUUGAGAUCGUGAGGAACGCCCGCGGCGAAAGCGCGUCCCUGGACCCCACCUGACGCUGAGACGCGAAAGCCAGGGGAGCGAACGGG
rnacentral:rRNA from 1 species